UACGUAGGGUGCGAGCGUUGUCCGGAAUUAUUGGGCGUAAAGAGCUUGUAGGCGGGUUGUCGCGUCUGCUGUGAAAAUCCGGGGCUCAACCCCGGACUUGCAGUGGGUACGGGCAGACUAGAGUGUGGUAGGGGAGACUGGAAUUCCUGGUGUAGCGGUGGAAUGCGCAGAUAUCAGGAGGAACACCGAUGGCGAAGGCAGGUCUCUGGGCAUUAACUGACGCUGAGGAGCGAAAGCAUGGGGAGCGAACAGG
rnacentral:rRNA from 1 species